AGCACAUUUUUCAAGACCAAGGGUUAAAACAGGCACACAGAAAAAUGCAACAAGAAAGCAACUGCUCAAAGAAGAGAAAAGGAAAGGAAGAAAAGCCAAGGACAACAAAAGUCCAACAAUUUGUAGAUAUAUGGUCUGAAGCUCUACCUAAACUGGCAGAAUGUUAAGCUUUCCACAACUGGCACAAGGGGCAAACAUGGAAUAAAUAUCUAGAAAAAAAAAAUCUGAACAAGAACUAGGAGGAGCUUUAAGCUACAGGAUAUGAUGAAAGAACUGCAGAAACAUAAUUAAAUGAGUAUUCAUGAAGCCACUAUAAUUUUGAUAACCGUGCAUGGAAGAGAUAAUGGUAAGGUAGAAGUCACUUGAAUAUAAAAGCUGUGGUGGACUGUGGAAAAUGAACUGCCAAGUUGGUAUGGGCAUACAGCUGGAGAAAGAGAGAUAACAGAAUAAAAGGAAGAAGGCAAACCAGAUUUGACAAAGCAUCUGCAAGUUUAUCCCACUGAACUACAUCAGAGGCAAAGAAAAUAACUAGUCCAUGGUGCAAUAAGUGUGUAGACAAAUACAGCAUGGAGUGAAGUCGUCUUAGCUAACUAUUAUCUAAAGAGGUUUUUUUCAAGCAUCCAUUUUGAGCAACUCUACAACAAAAACAAGAAAAUUGUUCCCUUCAGCUAUAUAUUACUUCCACCAGGACCAUAGCAACAAGAAAAUGUCUCUCGAUAUUUAUAAAAGACUAUAACGGAACAGAUGCCAGCAGAGAAGAAAAACCUCUCUUCAUCUCAGACUGAAAAUGCAAUAUAGGGAUUCUACCCUUAACAGAGCUGCAUUAUUAAGCAUGGAAUUAUACAUCAAGGAAGACCAAAAGUAUAAAUUAAUGCCAAAAGGACUAGGUAAUACAUUCAGUGCAAGUCCAACAAGGGUUGUUUAACAAAAUAGUUCAGAUGCAACCUCCAGCUUAAGAUGUCUACAAGCUGUGGAAUAUCAUAAGGUAAAAAAAACGUGUUACAGAAGGAUUACUUUAUAUACAGUAUUUUUGCUAUAUUCCUUUUCUAAGUAUUUUCUCCUGACCAUCAUCCGGAAUAGAAUACUAAGUGAGAGAAGUAUGGUAUUUCUUACAUAUAUUCAAUACAAAAGUGGUUCUUGUGAUGUAGGAAAAUAUUUCUGAAUAAUUUUAAAGUUAAAAAAAAAUGUAUCUGUAGAAUCAGUAGUUUUCUUCCUUGAUUUAUUAAGAAGGAAUCUUUCAUAAAACCUUUGCAAAAUGCCAUUUGCUUCAAUUAACAAGAGAUGGAGUCAUUGGUACUGUAUACACAUGGUACAAAAAAUAAAUAUAUAAAGAGUACCUAGCAAAGAGCUAAGAACAUAUUCCCCACAUCCUUCAACUUGACCUGGAUAAUAUGUUAUAUAGUAACAAAGCUACAACAGGUAUGUAAGAUACCUGAGAAAAUCAACAAAUUCAACCCUAAUUUUCACACAUCUAGUUUCAAAAUUUCCAUCUGUAUAAAAUUAAUAAUCCCUAAAAGUCAGUAUGAAAGAAAAUUGAAUAUUAUUAAAUACAUGACGUGACAGUGUUGGAGUACGCACAGUAUUAUCUGAUUCAAAAUUCAGAAUAUCUGAUUCAGAACCUCUGCACUUCAGGGACUUGCUACGUUACUUGAAAUCCUUGCUGAAUUCAGAAGGGUCUUUUGUUAACAUAUUGUGCAUUUUAACCUUAAUUCCAGCAAGAUGAAAUCCAGCUUUUAGCUUAUAAACAUCUUAAAAGAUGAUUGGAGUAUUCAACUGAUGGUAAAAACUGGCAGCACAUUUAAAACUUAGUUCAACAGUCUAGCAUGCAACAAGAUUAAUGAGAAGAGCAAACCUCUGCUGACAGUCAGAUGUUUAGUAUCACUUAACUGUGUUUAAUAUCACUGGAACAGGCAAGUUCAACCAAAGUGUAAAGGUAAAGUUUAGGGAAGUUUUAAAGUUGUGCUGGCAAAAUAUCCCUCUGUCAAGUUUUUCAACCCAUGAUUUGGUAUAAAUGUCCUUGAAUAUAUUUUCCAAACAAAAUAUAAGAGAAAUGUAUUAAUUCAAAUCAAAGCCAUAACAAACAUAAUGAGUUUAAAAAUAAACUGUUUCUUUCUUAAAUAUUGGACUUCUUUAGAAUGACAGAUUCUAAAAGCAUAAAUUAAUUAUCUACUUUAUUAAUUCAUAUUUUAUUGACCUUUGAGUAAUUGGAUAUUAAACAUCUGUAGAAAGACUUCCUGAUAGUGGGGACCAGCAAAGCUACUCACAUUUACAGGUUGAAACCUGAGGCCAGAGGAGUGACUGAACUAUGCUGAAUUGCAAAGGCAUGGAGGAGCAGUACAUUAGCCACAAGUAUAUAUAUCCUACAGAAGAUGUAAAAUCAAAAGAGCUUUUUAUAUAUGUAGGAAUAGCUGUAGCUACUACACCACUGUCUGUUUUCAUUUAAAUGUUUUUGCAGCUGGUGUUAUCCAACAACCACAGGUAGGACUGCAGGUGGGGUGGGAACUGAGAGCCACCACUGCAGCUCUUGACUUAUCUGCUGCCUUCGUAUAGCUACAAAAGCCCAUGACUGAACUUUGAUAUGGCUGGUGAAGUUGUACUUGUGAUAGAGACUCACAAAAAGGACUAUAAAAGAAGAGUAAGCCCUAUAAAGCUGAGCUCGUCAGGAUCCUUUUUGGGCUGCCUUAUUUUGCUUCCUUUUGCUUGUUUAUUUAUCACUAGAAUUUAAGUUGCCACUUCCUUGAAUGUGCUUCCUGCUGGCAUUAAUCUCCAUCAGUGUUAUUUCAGAGCAUUUUUACCACAUGUAAACAGUUGUGAACCUCUUACCAAUAAGAAAAAAAAAAAAAAAAAAAAAAAAAGGUUAAUUCAAAUGGAACUUGUGUCAAGCUGUGGCAGCUGGAGGAGUGAACUCCUUCUGCUGCUGCAUUCAAAAAUGUAUAAAAAUCUUUAAUAAAACAGUGAGGCAGUUGUCCUUGAAUUAGAACACAGACUGAGCAUAAACCAAACAUGGAUUUAUCAGUUUACUGACGGGAAAAGUGCUGAAAAAUUUCUGCUUGAUCUGACAGCUACCUUACCAGGUUAGGUCCUCAAAGUCUACCUGCCACAAAAAUAAAAUAAAAUAAAAUAAAAUAAAAUAAAAUAAAAUAAAAUAAAAUAAAAUAAAAUAAAAUAAAAUAAAAU